rnacentral:rRNA from 1 species
CCUACGGGAGGCAGCAGUGGGGAAUAUUGCACAAUGGGGGAAACCCUGAUGCAGCGACGCUGCGUGAGUGAAGAAGUAUUUCGGUAUGUAAAGCUCUAUCAGCAGGGAAGAAAUAGCGACCUUUGGGUCGCCAGACGGUACCUGACUAAGAAGCCCAGGCUAACUACGUGCCAGCAGCCGCGGUAAUACGUAGGGGGCAAGCGUUAUCCGGAUUUACUGGGUGAAAAGGGAGCGUAGACGGCAGCACAAGUCUGAAGUGAAAUGCCGGGGCUUAACCCCGGAACGGCUUUGGAAACUGUGCAGCUAGAGUCAGGAGAGGUAAGUGGAAUUCCUAGUGUAGCGGUGAAAUGCGUAGAUAUUAGGAGGAACACCAGUGGCGAAGGCGGCUUACUGGACUGUAACUGACGUUGAGGCUCGAAAGCGUGGGGAGCAAACAGGAUUAGAUACCCUAGUAGUC